UUUCAUCAAUCUUGAGGUCUAUGAGUAUAAAUUAUAAUCAUAAUUGCAUCAACUUAUAGUUCUCAUGUUGUUUUUAACUUUUAACUAUGAAUUUCUAACAUUUCAUUUUGUUUGUGUUCACAGUUGCUUGCUUGGAUUUUUUACUUCAACACUAUUUUACAUUGCUUCUGCGUAUGGAAUUGGGAUGAUGUAUUCACUUUAUCUCCCCAAACCUUCAUACACUCUUAACAUAUUUUUCAUCUUGUGGAUUGCAGUUUUGCUUUUAGUUAUGCUUGCCAUAUCCUUACAUUCAAAGGUUUUGGAGUUGGGGAUGAAGUUUCGAACUGUAGAUGAUAUGAGUGCAAUACUUGCUGGAAGAGAAUGGGUUGCGGAAUGUGGUGCACCUGUCAAGCAUGCAUCUUGAAGGAAAGGUAACAACUAGUAUAUUCUUAUUUUUAGACUAGACUGUGUAUGCAUGCUAUAUUUUGUCAUUUAUAUUAUAUGUUCAUAGCCUAUAAUGAAUUUGAAUAUUAUAUGAACGUUGAAAACUGUAUUAAGAUAUCUGUUAGACUUGUGGUUAACAAAUUAGAAUAAUAUAGUAGUCUUUAUGCAUAAUGGAACUCCUUAUCUUCCACGAGCAAACUAAUGCCACAGUGCACUCAUCCUUGUAAUCUAUACCUCUAAUUAAGAGAAUUCUUAAAUCGGGCCACUGGUUGGUAUUUGGUCACCAUUGGGUAGGAUGAAGAAUAUGGGUCUGCACCAACCCACAGAUUGUGGCCUAUAGACCCACCACCACUGCAUCCUGCUGAUAUGGAGCAGUCCUGGUUGGAAGAAACAAGUAAAAUGAGAGAGAGACUCUUACCCUCUAGUGUAAAAUGGAGCAGUCCUGCUGAUAUGAAGUUUAUUAAACCUUACCCUCUAGUGUUACUGCAACAACAAACAACAAAACUAAAAGGCUUCUUUUAAUAGCUGUUUUGAAGGAUUCAAGUGAAGAAAAUGUUUAGGUUGUCUCUCCUUUUAUAAUUGUUUGGAGAGUAAGUUUUAUUUUAACGAUGCAUAUAAACUACGCUAGAUGUACAAAUUUCAUUUUGGCUUUUUGCCAAAGAAGGAAAUUGUAAAGGUUGAGAAUAAAGAACACGGAAAAGCCAGUGCUGCAGCAAGUCUGGUAUGUUCCCCUCCCCUUUCAGUCUAUUUGCUGGUCCAAGUUUCUUUAUUGCUGGAUUAUCACCAUUUUUCCUUAUAGGGUAUGAUUCUGCUUUGGGAUGUUGAUUCUGGACUUGCCCAACUUGACUAGUAUUUCCACAGUAAUGACAACCAUGUCAUAGCCGGUGCAUUGUUGGGAGUUGGUAUUGUGAACUGCGGUAUCAAGAAUGACUGUGAUCGUGCAUUGGCACUUCUUGCUGAUUAUAUAGAUACAGAGGAUUCUUCUGUCAGAAUCGGUGCAAUAAUGGGUCUGGGCCAUGCUUAUGCUGGUGCCCAAAAUGAGCAGGUGAGGUUCCUUGCAUUUUUAACUGGUGGUUUCUUGGUAGGCCAUGGAAACAAUACUAUGUCUGAUUCAAGAGGCACAUCAGUGGAAUCAUUCUGUCUAUUCUACCAUAGAUUGUUAAUU